rnacentral:tRNA from 1 species
UUAAAAAUUAGUUAAACCAUAACACAGGCUUGUCAAGCCUGAAUUAUUACAAUUGUAAUAUUUUUAAA